rnacentral:rRNA from 1 species
CAGUAGCCGCGGUAAUACGUAGGUGGCAAGCGUUGUCCGGAAUUAUUGGGCGUAAAGGGCUCGCAGGCGGUUUCUUAAGUCUGAUGUGAAAGCCCCCGGCUCAACCGGGGAGGGUCAUUGGAAACUGGGAAACUUGAGUGCAGAAGAGGAGAGUGGAAUUCCACGUGUAGCGGUGAAAUGCGUUGAGAUGUGGAGGAACACCAGUGGCGAAGGCGACUCUCUGGUCUGUAACUGACGCUGAGGAGCGAAAGCGCGGGGAGCGAACAGGAUUAGAUACCCCGGUAGUCCCUGUCUCUUAUAA